GGUGGGUAUAGCUCAGAGGUAGAGCGCAUGCUUAGCAUGCAUGAGGUCCUGGGUUCAAUCCCUAGUACCUCCA
rnacentral:tRNA from 1 species